CUGGUGUGAUGAAGUUCUUCGGUUGCAUUUCCCCUGUCCUGUGGCUCUUCUUGGCUGAAUCUUCUGGAUCUGUCACUUUGACACAACCCAGGUCAGUAAUGGCAUCCCCUGGGGGCUCUGUAAUGCUGGACUGUGUAGUAUCUGGAUACAAUAUUGAUGAUCACCACAUGUAUUGGUUCCGUCAAACCCCUGGGAAAGGCCUCGUCAUCAUAGCAGGCUUCCGAACUGGAUAUACUGCAGACAUUGCCAAUGAAUUUAACGGACGUGUGACACCUUCCACCAGUGGUUCAACAGCAAAGCUAGCGAUGAGUGCCCUGACCAUUUCAGAUGCUUGUGUCUACUAUUGUGCCAGAUGA